rnacentral:sRNA from 1 species
UACAUGAUACAGAAAUUGUACGUACAAUGGCAACAGGUAUCGCUGGUUUAUCAGUAGCAGCUGACUCAUUAUCUGCAAUUAAAUAUGCACAAGUUAAACCAAUUCGUAACGAAGAAGGUCUUGUAGUAGACUUUGAAAUCGAAGGCGACUUCCCUAAAUACGGUAACAAUGACGACCGUGUAGAUGAUAUCGCAGUUGAUUUAGUAGAACGCUUCAUGACUAAAUUACGUAGUCAUAAAACAUAUCGUGAUUCAGAACAUACAAUGAGUGUAUUAACAAUUACUUCAAACGUUGUAUACGGUAAGAAAACUGGUAAC